GCCGGGGCUCCGGCUGCGUGGAAGAUCACAGACGAUGCCGACUGGCGACUUUGACUCGAAGCCCAGCUGGGCUGACCAGGUGGAAGAUGGAGGAGACGAUGACAAGUGUGUCACCAGUGAGCUCCUCAAGGGGAUUCCAUUGGCCACAGGAGAGCCCAACAAUGAGCCAGAGCUACUACCGGGUGAUCGUCCGUACCUUCAGGAUUGAAACUCGGAAAGCAUCUAAGGCUAUUGCAAGAAGAAAGGUUCUGUAUAAGCUGUGCGCAUCUCGCUGAAAUGAGGCAGAAAGAAAUCGCUAGAGUCACAGAGCCUCUGGAGGAGGUAGACCACAAGGUGCUCUUUGGCCUGGCGAUGAAAAAUGGAGUACAGUGUAGGAGAUGGAGUCUUCUUCUUGCCAGAGGCUUUUGGAUUUAAGCAAAAGCAGGGGAAAAACUGUAGCAGUCGAGCCAAGUGAGCAGGAAACAAUAGAAGUAAAGCUGCCCAAGCUUCGCACCCUGGAUGUAUUCUCUGGCUGUGGAUGACUGUUUGAAGGCUUUCACCAAGCAGGAAUAUCAGAAACACUAUGGGCCAUUGAAAUGUGGGACCCUGCUGCCCCAGCAUUCCAUCUGAAUAAUCCUGGGACUACUGUGUUCACAGAAGAUUGUAAUGUUCUCCUGAAGCUGGUUAUGUCUGGGGAGAAGACCAACUCCCUGGGCCAGAAGUUGCCUCAGAAAGGAGAUGUAGAAAUGCUAUGUGGUGGUCCACCCUGCCAAGGGUUUAGUGGCAUGAACCGCUUCAACUCACGCACUUAUUCCAAGUUCAAGAACUCCCUAGUUGUCUCCUUACUCAGGUGAAUGGCACAGGGAAUAACUAUCCCCUCAUUUUAGCUUAUAGUCUUUGCUUGCUGCUUACUGGGGGGUGGCAAGCACAGGGAGCCUUUUCAUUCUUAGUGAGGACAUCCCUACUCCAGAGUAAGAAGUCCCUACUUCUGUUGUUGGAACACAGGGGUUCAGCCUUUCCAUUUUUCUGUGUGGAAGUUUGCUACAGAGGGAUUUGUUUGCAAGAAGACAAUCAGUUUUUUAAAAUAACCUUUUAUUGCUAUCAUCAUGGUUUUCCCCACUACCCUUCCCCCCCUUCCAGAGAGCCUCACAUAACAAAUAACCCUAUAUAACAAAUAGUAUUUUUUUAUAGACACAAAAAGUCAUGCAACAUUCACUUCUGAUUUUUUUUUUGGCAUGGUUCUUUUCAGUUACGUU